rnacentral:rRNA from 1 species
AAGCGUUUACGACCAGACUUAGGCCCGGUUGAUCAACUAGCGUUCUCGCUGGUGCACUCUGCCGGCCUAGGCCAGCAUCAGUUCGCCCCGGGGGAUAAAGGCGUCGGGAAUGUAGCUCCCUCGGGAGUGUUAUAGCCCUUCGUGCAAUACCCUGAGGUGGACUGAGGUUCGCGCUCUGCAAGGAUGCUGGCGUAAUGGUCGUCAACGA